CCCUGGCGGCUUUCAUGGUAAAGAGUCUGCCUGCAACGCAGGAGACCCAGGUUCGAUCCCUGGGUCAGGAA
rnacentral:tRNA from 1 species